rnacentral:rRNA from 1 species
CAGUCGCCGCGGUAAUACGGAGGGUGCAAGCGUUGUUCGGAAUUAUUGGGCGUAAAGGGUGCGUAGGCGGUUUGAUAAGUCUUGUGUGAAAUCUCUGGGCUCAACCCAGAGUCUGCACAGGAAACUGUCGGGCUUGAGAGUGGGAGAGGUGAGUGGAAUUUCCGGUGUAGCGGUGAAAUGCGUAGAUAUCGGAAGGAACACCUGUGGCGAAAGCGGCUCACUGGACCAUUUCUGACGCUGAUGCACGAAAGCGUGGGGAGCAAACAGGAUUAGAUACCCGGGUAGUCCCUGUCUCUUAUAC